GGAGGAGUCAGAUAGCGGUCCAUUCUGCCUGCUUGGAAAGCAGGUGUGCGCAAGCACACGUGGGUUCGAAUCCCACCUCCUCCGCCC
rnacentral:tRNA from 1 species